rnacentral:rRNA from 1 species
CCCAUUGUUUAGCGGCGGACGGGUGAGUAACACGUGGGCAACCUGCCCUGCAGAUCGGGAUAACUCCGGGAAACCGGUGCUAAUACCGAAUAGUUUGCGGCCUCUCCUGAGGCUGCACGGAAAGACGGUUUCGGCUGUCACUGCAGGAUGGGCCCGCGGCGCAUUAGCUAGUUGGUGGGGUAAUGGCCUACCAAGGCGACGAUGCGUAGCCGACCUGAGAGGGUGAUCGGCCACACUGGGACUGAGACACGGCCCAGACUCCUACGGGAGGCAGCAGUAGGGAAUCUUCCGCAAUGGACGAAAGUCUGACGGAGCAACGCCGCGUGAGUGACGAAGGUUUUCGGAUCGUAAAACUCUGUUGUGAGGGAAGAACAAGUACCAAGUAACUACUGGUACCUUGACGGUACCUCACCAGAAAGCCACGGCUAACUACGUGCCAGCAGCCGCGGUAAUACGUAGGUGGCAAGCGUUGUCCGGAAUUAUUGGGCGUAAAGCGCGCGCAGGCGGUUCUUUAAGUCUGAUGUGAAAGCCCACGGCUCAACCGUGGAGGGUCAUUGGAAACUGGAGAACUUGAGUGCAGAAGAGGAAAGUGGAAUUCC